AAGAAAAGAAAAGAAAAAAACGAAAGGAAAAAAUUUUCAAUCUGUGAAGAUCCGAUUAUCGUUAUUGUACUUAACGGAAUUUAAAAGAUUUCCCGCCAAAAAAGUAAUCCUUAUCGUUAUCAAUCAACGAGCGAUCUUUUCUUUUUCUUUUCGAAUCUUUCUCACGACCUUCACCGAUACUCUCGAUCGAAGGAGAAAACAAGAGUAUGAGAGAUUUUCUUUUUCCUUCUUUUUCUUUUUUUUUUUUUUCUUUUCUUCUUUCCCUCCCCCUCACCCCAUUACGAGCCGACUUUAUCUCAAUGAUUACGAUGACUUAAUCUUCUCCGUCUUUCUCUAUAGGAUCGGGAAAAAAAAAAAGUUUACAAAGUGGGAAGGUCUAGCACGCGAUCUCGACGAGAAAGACUAAUAUUCGCGGGCGUCUUUAUAGAAGUUGAUUUUCACGAUGACGUCAGCAACGAAGCAAAGCGAAGAGAGUCCUCGUGUGUCUCAAAAACAUUGAAGUGUUUCUCUCCAACCGGUUGUACACCUUUGAGUUGCUCUCAGAAAACAAAAAAAAAAAAAAAAAAAAAAAAAGUCACAUAGACAAAAAUCGGAUGGUCCCUUUUAAGAUGAGACAUCUCGAACUAGAAAAGAGUUAGAGAGAGAGAGAGAGAAAGAGAGAGAGAGUUGAAUGGGAGAAGUGAUUUCUCUCGACAUGAAGUGCGGGUUUUUCCCCUACAAACUGUACGAAACGAACACGUUAAUUACAUCUUGCAAUCUUUUCUAACUAUGGUUAGAUGGCUUACGUAAUACACGGCGCCGUUAUUGACUCAAACCGAGAGAAUAAGAAGAAUGAAAGAAAGAAAGAAAGAAAAACUUCUACGUCCAUAUUUUUCUUCGUGGUAUCCUUCCUUAUCUAUAUACACGAUGGCGAUACUUGAUCACUAAAUAAAAACAGAAAGAGAGAGAGAGAGAGAGAGAGAGAGAGAGAGAGAGAGAGAGAGAGAGAG